rnacentral:sRNA from 1 species
GCAGCUUGCACGUCGUCUUCUUAGGCCCCUU